ensembl:snRNA
GUGUUUUAUGAAAGUGAAGAAUUAAGUUAGCACUGUUCUUGACAAGAGCAGAAAAAGGUUCUGGUGACCUAUGCCACACUCAUCCAUGUAAGGUACCACCACUUCUUUGGAGCACUGAACAACAAUAAAUUU